rnacentral:rRNA from 1 species
GACGAACGCUGGCGGCGUGCCUAAUACAUGCAAGUCGAACGCAGUGGGGACGGGUGAGUAACACGUGGGUAACCUCCCAUCAGAGGGGAUAACACUUGGCAACAGGUGCUAAACCGAUACUGAUGGAUGAACCCGCGGUGCAUUAGCUAGUGGGUGAGGUAACGGCUCACCAAGGCCACGAUGUAUAGCCGGCCUGAGAGGGUGAUCGGCCACACUGGAACUGAGACACGGCCCAGACUCCUACGGGAGGCAGCAGUGGGGAAUCUUGGGCAAUGGACGAAAGUCUGACCGAGCAACGCCGCGUGAGUGAAGAAGGUUUUCGGGUCGUAAAGCUCUGUUGUUAGGGAGGCGGUAUCUAACGAGAAAGCAACGGCUAACUACGUGCCAGCAGCCGCGGUAAUAC